ACGCUCGACACCUACGGGAGGUAGCAGUCGGGAAUAUUGCGCAAUGGAGGAAACUCUGACGCAGUGACGCCGCGUAUAGGAAGAAGGUUUUCGGAUUGUAAACUAUUGUCGUUAGGGAAGAGAAAGGACAGUACCUAAGGAGGAAGCUCCGGCUAACUACGUGCCGGCAGCCGCGGUAAUCUGAGCGGGCUGGCAAGGC
rnacentral:rRNA from 1 species